rnacentral:rRNA from 1 species
UACGAAGGGGAGCUAGCGUUGUUCGGAAUCACUGGGCGUAAAGCGCACGUAGGCGGAUGUGUCAGUCAGGGGUGAAAUCCCGGAGCUCAACUUCGGAACUGCCUUUGAUACAGCACAUCUGGAGUCCGGAAGAGGUGGGUGGAAUUCCUAGUGUAGAGGUGAAAUUCGUAGAUAUUAGGAAGAACACCGGUGGCGAAGGCGGCCCACUGGUCCGGUACUGACGCUGAGGUGCGAAAGCGUGGGGAGCGAACAGG